UCCAGGCUGACGGGCAAUGGCGGGAUCAUGGCUCAGUGCAGUUUCGAUCUCCUGGGCUCAAGUGGUCCUCCCACCUCAGCCUCCCAAGAAGUUGGGACCACAGGAGGGGGCCACCAUACCCGGCUAAUUUUUUUGAUGUUUUGUAGAUAUAGGGUCUCCCUAUGUUGCCCAGGUUGGUCUCUAACUCCUGAGCUCAAGUGUUCUGCCCACUUCAGCCUCCCAAAGUGCUAGGGUGAAAGGCCUGAGUCACCACUGCCAGCCAAUUGCUGAAGUUUUUGGAAAAGAAAAUUCUUGUCUGAUCCAUGGGAGUUGCUUCAAAGGCCACAGGAUUCUGCUGCAAAUUCUAACAGGAGGAGGCAAUGGCAGCCCUUACUAAAACCGCAGAACUACAGGAAGAGGAUCCCUGAGUGGGAUUCCUGUGUGAAAGGCAUUUUCACCUUUUUGUGUAUCUUCAGAAUCUUAACUUUCAUGAGAGAAGAAUAGAAAUGCAACAAUGGAACAAUCCACUGUAUACACGUAGCUGACAAUUUAAUAAACUUGAAGGAAAUGCUACAG
ensembl:lncRNA LINC01827 long intergenic non-protein coding RNA 1827